ACAAAGCACUCAAUCCAGCUAUCCAGGAAGUCUGGCCGAAUACAGCAGAACCGUGAGCACUGGGAUGGAGCUUGAGAGUGGAAAAACACUAAGUCUGAGAAGAAGAGAGAGUGUGCCAGCAGGAGACAUCUGCAGCCAGAAGCAACAGGUGUUUUCAUGAAUUCUAGAAUUAGCUCUGGACUGAAGAGGAAGGCGUGUGGAGGGCUGAAGCUCUCAAAAUGUAAAGUCCUCUAGGUUUGACAGGGCACACUCAGAGGCUGAGGCACAAAUACAAGCAGGCCCAAGAGCCUCUCCCAUGUGAGUCUCCUUUCACCAGAGACAGCCGGGCACGUCCUUCAUUGCUGACAACUGGAACAGGAGGAAUGCAGGGACAGAACCAGCAGCACUGUGGACUUGUCCAGAUUAAGGCUGAGAUCGUCCCACCUCAGCAGGCUGAGCACUGGAACUACAGGCAUGUGCCAACACAAUGGAGUCCUUUUAUGACAAGUCCUGUCCCACACUCAAGAGGUACAGCGUCAAAUACAAUGGUUCCCAAGUGUCCUGUCUCAUUUGUCCAAGUUCGUUUGACCACAGAAGCAAACAGUGAUCCUCUGACCUGGACACCUCUUUGGCACUCUGCCCUUUAAGUCUAUCCACAGGAUGGCUGCAAGGUACUUUAUAAAAUGGAAUCAGCAUGUUCUGAUGGUUCUGCUCUAUGUUCUCAGCCUUGCACAGGCUGUUCCUUCACCCGGCAAAUGUGAAAUGCUAGGCUGGUGGAGCAGUCUCCACAACACACAUGGAGCUGGCUG